rnacentral:lncRNA from 1 species
CAUAGAAUAAAUGAUAUUAACUAAAUAUGUCAAUCAACUGGCCGUAAGAAUUACAAGACUCGAUUAAUAUCCAUUCAUGGUUUGAGAAAAAAAAAAUUCCCAUGAGCCUUAUAAAAUCAUCAGACCAUUUGUUUCAAUUGUACAAAUUUUAAAAAAUUUUGAACAUUUUGAAACUAAAACCACUAUAAAAUCAGAAGAAGUUAUUUCAUGAUGGGUGAUGGACUGGAUCAUAUCUGAUGUUUACGAGCAUUUGCCAUAGGAGAAGGAUUAGGUUUGAGCGGCUGCCUGUUACUCCGACCUCGUAAAUGACUCAUAUUCUCAUUGAAUUUGACAGGUGACAACUUUAACUCUAAGAUCCUGGAUUCGCCUCGCAAACACAAUUAUGCAUCCAUUGAUAAGAUAGCAAAAAUUACUAGAAAGUGUAAAGCAGCAAUUAUGCAUCCAUUGAUAAGAUAAGAAAAAUUACUAAAAAGUGUAAAGCAGCAAUAAUGUUCAUUUUUUGUCCUGUCACAAUGCUUGUGUUAAGUUUGUUUGUUAUAUGCUUGUAGUUGCGAAGAAGAAACUCAUAUAUCUCUUAAAAUACCCAUUUUCAUUACGCGUUGUUCCCACUUGCCUACUUGUCAAACCUCUGCAACUUAUUUUGAAUGGAAAUCUCCAGUCAAAGAAUUGAAAGAAGAGCAGACAACUUUAAAUCUGAAAUUCGAUAGUUCCCAAGUAAUCAAAUAUAGUAGGCAAACAACCUCACAACUUCCGACGUCGGAACCUAGUGUUCCAACAAUUGAAAAAAAUGUCGAAGUUUUACCAUGUGGACUAUGGAUUUAUACGGGCAAAAGACUAUUUUAUGGGCUGCCUUUUGAUAACCCAAUCAAUCUUAAUAGUAGUAACACACACAUAUGCGCGUUGGCUACUUAAAGGACUAAACAAG